rnacentral:rRNA from 1 species
GAUGAACGCUAGCGGCAGGCCUAACACAUGCAAGUCGAGGGAGAGGUUACCUUCGGGUAACCAAAACCGGCGCACGGGUGCGUAACGCGUAUACAAUCUGCCUUUCACAUAGGGAUAGCCCGAAGAAAUUUGGAUUAAUACCUAAUGGUAUAUAAGAGCGGCAUCGUUUUUAUCUUAAAGCUACAGUGGUGAAAGAUGAGUAUGCGUUCUAUUAGCUAGUUGGAGAGGUAACGGCUCCCCAAGGCGACGAUAGAUAGGGGUUCUGAGAGGGAUGUCCCCCACACUGGUACUGAGAUACGGACCAGACUCCUACGGGAGGCAGCAGUGAGGAAUAUUGGGCAAUGGUCGGAAGACUGAUCCAGCCAUGCCGCGUGCAGGAUGAAGGUCCUAUGGAUUGUAAACUGCUUUUGUAAGGGAAGAAUAAGGAGUACGUGUACUUUGAUGACGGUACCUUACGAAUAAGCAUCGGCUAACUCCGUG